rnacentral:rRNA from 1 species
ACCGAUCUUCGGAUUGGUGAAGACUUAGUGGCGAACGGGUGCGUAACACGUGAGAAACCUGCCCCGGUCUCUGGAAUAACAGUUGGAAACGACUGCUAAUACCGGAUGCCGUCGGACCAUCGCAUGGUGGACCGACGAAAGGGUUACCGGACUGGGAGGGUCUCGCGGCCUAUCAGCUUGUUGGUGAGGUAACGGCUCACCAAGGCAUCGACGGGUAGCUGGUCUGAGAGGAUGGUCAGCCACACUGGGACUGAGACACGGCCCAGACUCCUACGGGAGGCAGCAGUAGGGAAUAUUGCACAAUGGGCGAAAGCCUGAUGCAGCAACGCCGCGUGCGGGAAGAAGGCCCUAGGGUUGUAAACCGCUUUCAGCAGGGAAGAAAAUGACGGUACCUGCAGAAGAAGGUGCGGCCAACUACGUGCCAGCAGCCGCGGUGACACGUAGGCACCAAGCGUUGUCCGGAUUUAUUGGGCGUAAAGAGCUCGUAGGCGGUUCAGUUAGUCGGGUGUGAAAACUCUGGGCUUAACCCAGAGACGCCACUCGAUACUGCUGUGACUAGAGUGCGGUAGGGGAGCGGGGAAUUCCUAGUGUAGCGGUGAAAUGCGCAGAUAUUAGGAGGAACACCAGUGGCGAAGGCGCCGCUCUGGGCCGUAACUGACGCUGAGGAGCGAAAGCGUGGGUAGCAAACAGGAUUAGAUACCCUGGUAGUCCACGCCGUAAACGUUGGGCACUACGUGUGGGUCUCAACCAAACGAGAUCCGCGCCGUCGCUAACGCAUUAAGUGCCCCGCCUGGGGAGUACGGCCGCAAGCUAAACUCAAAGGAAUUGACGGGGGCCCGCACAAGCAGCG